rnacentral:rRNA from 1 species
UCCGUAGGUGAACCUGCGGAAGGAKCAUU